rnacentral:misc_RNA from 1 species
AACGCAUAUGGCACCCGAGACUUCGGUCGAGGGUAUGUCUGUCUCAGAGUCGGCGUAAAAACAUCCCCAAGGGUAGGUGACCUACCUACCUGCGGGGGAGCUGGCCCUCCCGGAGAACGGGUCUCUGCCCCGCUUUUCCGGGUCGGCUGAAGGUGAGAGACGGGGGACCGCUCGCGCGGACAAGCCACGAUUUUGGUGGGAGGACCUCGCGUCCGCAUCAUCGAUCGGGCCGUCCAACUCGAAGCGUGCCGGUCGUCGGGCCCCGCCACGGCAGGAAAACCAAAACUUCUAGUUCCGACCUGAGAUCAGGCAAGAUCACCCGCUGAACUUAA